rnacentral:rRNA from 1 species
UACGAAGGGGGCUAGCGUUGCUCGGAAUCACUGGGCGUAAAGGGUGCGUAGGCGGAUUUGUAAGUCAGGGGUGAAAUCCCGGGGCUCAACCUCGGAACUGCCUUUGAUACUGCAAGUCUCGAGUCCGAUAGAGGUGAGUGGAAUUCCUAGUGUAGAGGUGAAAUGCGCAGAUAUCAGGAGGAACACCAAUGGCGAAGGCAGCUCGCUGGAACGGUAACUGACGCUGUGGCGCGAAAAGCGUGGGGAGCGAACAGG